rnacentral:rRNA from 1 species
UAGCUAACUGAAAUCAUAUGACUCGUCAAUUGAUGGUGAUUAUGAUAACAUAAGGGAAAAAAAUGAUAUUACCUUAUUAUUAGUGUUGUCCAAAACUGGUGCCAGAAGACUCGGUAAGACCAGAGACGCGAACGUUAGUCAUCUUAAUCAGGCGUAAAGGGUUUGUAGGCUGCUUUAAAAGUUUAAAAUCUUUGUAAUAGCUCUUUGACCGUAAUGCUAUAUUAUUUAAUUGAAGUAAAUAAUUAAUUAAAAAAUGUAGUAUAUACAAUUUAUUAACAAAUAAAUGAUAUUAUUACUAUAUCCGUGUCACAGUUAAGAAAUAAAUGAAUUAAAGCUAGGAUCAAAUUGAGGAUAACCCAAAUAAUACUUAGAGUAGGGCUUAUAUCCGCAGAUACUAAGGGGAAUACUAAAGGUGAAAGCUUUUUAUCUACUAUUGAUUGACGCUGAGAAACGAAGGUGAGAAUAGGAAAUAGGAUUAGAUACCCAGAUACCUCUCACUGUCAACGAUGAAUGGUGGUUGUUAGUUUUAAUAAAAACUGGUAACGAUGUUAACACGAUAACCAUUCCGCCUUGCGAGUACGGUUGCAAAACUGAAACCAAAAAAAUUAGUCGGUCUCGAAGCAAACGAAGUGAAGCAUGUU